UGUCGUCCAUCCAAUGUCUUGAGUGUGGCGCCCCUGGCGAACAAUUAGUUAAACUAAUAUUCGAUUUUACUUCUCAAAAAUAACUUUUUAAAAUUUAAAAACAAAAAAAAAAUAUUGCAAUUUCUAAUUUUACAACGUUUAAGAUGUAUUAAAUCGUUAUUUGUCUAUAUUUAUUUAUUAUAAAGAUAAUACAUUUGAAAGUAACCAUCCAUCCGAAACAAAAUGAGACUAUUUAAAAUUAAUUAAUAACGAAUAAUUAAAUUACUCGAAUGUAUGUAAAUAUAAUUAUUAUGAAAUUAAAUUGUAAUUUUAAAAUAUUUUAAUUAUUAAAAAUAAUUGUUUUGUAACAUAAACAAUGUCAUUGUAAUAAGAUGUUACGAACCAGAAACAUGCUUCACAUUAUAACAAAUAAGUUUUGUAGUAAAGAAAAUAUCACAGGGGACAUAUGGCGGUCAGUUUAACGUGCAGGUGGAAAUCAUUAACGGUGGAAUAUAACACGAAUUCGUUUCGUGGUAUUAAGGAAAUAGAAACAAAAUGACAUCAUUUCUCACAAUCAUGUUAUCAAUAUUGGAUGUCAAAACAGCAAAAUUUUUUUCUGAAGGAACGAAGAAAAUAAUCGGUAUUUAAUAUGAAAAAUAAUCCAAAUUUAAUAAUGCAG
rnacentral:lncRNA from 1 species